CAUGCAAGUCGAGGGGCAGCGCGGGAUAGCAAUAUUCUGGCGGCGACCGGCGGAAGGGUGCGUAACGCGUGAGCGACAUGCCCGUUGCCCGGGGACAACCGGUGGAAACGCCGACUAAUCCCCGAUGGGAUACGAUGCUGCAUGGCAUUGUAUUGAAAGUUACGGCGGCGACGGAUUGGCUCGCGUCCGAUUAGCUUGUUGGCGGGGUAACGGCCCACCAAGGCUACGAUCGGUAGGGGUUCUGAGAGGAAGGCCCCCCACAAUGGGACUGAGACACGGCCCAUACUCCUACGGGAGGCAGCAGUGAGGAAUAUUGGUCAAUGGGCGGAAGCCUGAACCAGCCAUGCCGCGUGCGGGAAGGAGGCCCUAUGGGCUGUGAACCGCUUUUGCCUGGGGGCAAUAAGGGCGUCGCGCACGCCCGAUGAGAGUACCAGGCGAAUAAGCAUCGGCUAACUCCGUGCCAGCAGCCGCGGUAAUACGGGGGAUGCGAGCGUUAUCCGGAUUCAUUGGGUUUAAAGGGUGCGUAGGCUGUGCGUCAAGUCGGGGGUGAAAUUCCGGUGCUCAACACCGGGGCUGCCCUUGAUACUGUCGCGCUGGAGUGCGGAUGCCGCCGGAGGAAUGAGUGGUGUAGCGGUGAAAUGCUUAGAUAUCACUCAGAACACCGAUUGCGAAGGCAUCUGGCGAAUCCGUAACUGACGCUGAGGCACGAAAGCGUGGGGAUAGAACAGGAUUAGAUACCCUGGUAUUCCACGCCGUAAACGAUGAUGGCUAACCGCCGGCGACACACUGUCGGUGGCCAAGCGAAAGCGAUAAGCCAUCCACCUGGGGAGUACGUCGGCAACGAUGAAACUCAAAGGAAUUGACGGGGG
rnacentral:rRNA from 1 species